rnacentral:ncRNA from 2 species
CGCCUGAAAGGGGAUGGAGUUCCCCCUGGUAACCGCCGUGAUGCUGAUGACUCCUGUUGUUUU